rnacentral:rRNA from 1 species
UACGUAGGUCCCGAGCGUUGUCCGGAUUUAUUGGGCGUAAAGCGAGCGCAGGUGGUUUAUUAAGUCUGGUGUAAAAGGCAGUGGCUCAACCAUUGUAUGCAUUGGAAACUGGUAGACUUGAGUGCAGGAGAGGAGAGUGGAAUUCCAUGUGUAGCGGUGAAAUGCGUAGAUAUAUGGAGGAACACCGGUGGCGAAAGCGGCUCUCUGGCCUGUAACUGACACUGAGGCUCGGAAGCGUGGAGAGCAAACAGG